rnacentral:rRNA from 1 species
UACACUCCUGCGGGAGGCAGCAGUGGGGAAUUUUGGACAAUGGGCGAAAGCCUGAUCCAGCAAUGCCGCGUGUGUGAAGAAGGCCUUCGGGUUGUAAAGCACUUUUGUCCGGAAAGAAAUCCUUGGCUCUAAUACAGUCGGGGGAUGACGGUACCGGAAGAAUAAGCACCGGCUAACUACGUGCCAGCAGCCGCGGUAAUACGUAGGGUGCGAGCGUUAAUCGGAAUUACUGGGCGUAAAGCGUGCGCAGGCGGUUUGCUAAGACCGAUGUGAAAUCCCCGGGCUCAACCUGGGAACUGCAUUGGUGACUGGCAGGCUAGAGUAUGGCAGAGGGGGGUAGAAUUCCACGUGUAGCAGUGAAAUGCGUAGAGAUGUGGAGGAAUACCGAUGGCGAAGGCAGCCCCCUGGGCCAAUACUGACGCUCAUGCACGAAAGCGUGGGGAGCAAACAGGAUUAGAAACCCUAGUAGUCCCAUG